rnacentral:rRNA from 1 species
CCAGACUCCUACGGGAGGCAGCAGUGGGGAAUAUUGGGCAAUGGGCGCAAGCCUGACCCAGCAACGCCGCGUGAAGGAAGAAGGCUUUCGGGUUGUAAACUUCUUUUCUCAGGGACGAAUAGAUGACGGUACCUGAGGAAUAAGCCACGGCUAACUACGUGCCAGCAGCCGCGGUAAUACGUAGGUGGCAAGCGUUAUCCGGAUUUACUGGGUGUAAAGGGCGUGUAGGCGGGGACGCAAGUCAGAUGCGAAAUCCGGGGGCUCAACCCCCGAACUGCAUUUGAAACUGUUGGUCUUGAGUAUCGGAGAGGCAGGCGGAAUUCCUAGUGUAGCGGUGAAAUGCGUAGAUAUUAGGAGGAACACCAGUGGCGAAGGCGGCCUGCUGGACGACAACUGACGGUGAGGCGCGAAAGCGUGGGGAGCAAACAGGAUUAGAUACCCGUGUAC